rnacentral:rRNA from 1 species
ACGGAAGGCAGCAGUGGGGAAUAUUGCACAAUGGGCGAAAGCCUGAUGCAGCGACGCCGCGUGAGUGAAGAAGUAUCUCGGUAUGUAAAGCUCUAUCAGUAGGGAAGAAAAUGACGGUACCUGACUAAGAAGCCCCGGCUAACUACGUGCCAGCAGCCGCGGUAAUACGUAGGGGGCAAGCGUUAUCCGGAUUUACUGGGUGUAAAGGGAGCGUAGACGGUUUGGCAAGUCUGAAGUGAAAUGCGGGGGCUCAACUCCUGAACUGCUUUGGAAACUGUCGAACUAGAGUGCAGGAGAGGUAAGUGGAAUUCCUAGUGUAGCGGUGAAAUGCGUAGAUAUUAGGAGGAACACCAGUGGCGAAGGCGGCUUACUGGACUGUAACUGACGUUGAGGCUCGAAAGCGUGGGGAGCAAACAGGAUUAGAUACCCUGGUA